rnacentral:misc_RNA from 1 species
AAAAUAAACGUUACUUUGAAAGAGGUGUGCCUCACCUCGGCGAGAGCCCUUCACGCCUUUAGGCUUCUUUAAUGGCACUUUUAGGGGAAUUUUUCUGUGUGGAGCACAAUUAUUCACUUUUGCAAUCCAUUGUGUAGUAAUUUUUUCUACAUACACUGACUUACAUUUCACUUGGUACAAUCACUUUUCCGAAGUGUGCUUGUGGAGUUGUUUGGUAUUGAUUAAUGUGCUGAAUGAUUUUUUUUUCUUUAAUAGGUUUCAAGAUUUUAUUAAUAAAAUCUUAUAAAAGCUGAGGUAAUCCUGAGUGUAUAAAUAGUUUAUUUAUUCAGGGGGAACCAAAAACCCUAGUUAAAAGAAAGAAGAUCCUUGAUACUAUCUGGUUUAUAAGAACUGAAUUCUUUUAUUGAGCUGAGGGGACCAGUGUCAUGACAUAAACUGUGUCGAGUACAAAGUGCUGGGUUGAGUGGGAGAAGCUAAUUCCAUUCAACCAUGUCAAGGACUCUUUCUUUUUCUUCUGCACUUGGUUGCAUAGUUUUCUUAAGUUCUUGUUAUGUAUUUGUUGUUGUCCAUUCAUGAAACAACUAGGCCUAGCGGAUUCUGCAUGAUUUUAUUUUUUUCAAAUCUUAUAUGACUGCGGUUCCCAUAUAUUUAUGUUUUCAAUUGCAGCAUUUGCUCCAAUGAAUAGGGG